CCUACGGGAGGCUGCAGUGGGGAAUAUUGGACAAUGGGGGCAACCCUGAUCCAGCCAUGCCGCGUGUGUGAAGAAGGCCCUCGGGUUGUAAAGCACUUUCAGUGAGGAAGAACGCCUGGUGGUUAAUACCCAUCAGGAAAGACAUCACUCACAGAAGAAGCACCGGCUAACUCCGUGCCAGCAGCCGCGGUAAUACGGAGGGUGCGAGCGUUAAUCGGAAUUACUGGGCGUAAAGCGCGCGUAGGUGGCUUGAUAAGCCGGUUGUGAAAGCCCCGGGCUCAACCUGGGAACGGCAUCCGGAACUGUCAAGCUAGAGUGCAGGAGAGGAAGGUAGAAUUCCCGGUGUAGCGGUGAAAUGCGUAGAGAUCAGGAGGAAUACCAGUGGCGAAGGCGGCCUUCUGGACUGACACUGACACUGAGGUGCGAAAGCGUGGGUAGCAAACAGGAUUAGAUACCCCGGUAGUC
rnacentral:rRNA from 1 species